rnacentral:misc_RNA from 1 species
GAUGAAGAACGCAGCGAAAUGCGAUAAGUAAUGUGAGUUGCAGAAUUCAGUGAAUCAUCGAAUCUUUGAACGCACAUUGCGCCCGCCAGCAUUCUGGCGGGCAUGCCUGUUCGAGCGUCAUUUCAACCCUCAAGCUCUGCUUGGUGUUGGGGCCCUACGGUUGACGUAGGCCCUUAAAGGUAGUGGCGGACCCUCUCGGAGCCUCCUUUGCGUAGUAACUAACGUCUCGCACUGGGAUUCGGAGGGACUCUUGCCGUAAAACCCCCAAAUUUUUAAAGGUUGACCUCGGAUCAGGUAGGAAUACCCGCUGAACUUAAGCAUAUCAAUAAGCGGAGGA